rnacentral:lncRNA from 10 species
CAGGUCCUCCUGAUGCCACGUCCACCCAUCUACCUGAAAACAAAACAGGCACAGAGCACCUCCUGCUUGCUUGUGUGGUCGCAGGGCCCCGGCGAGUCACCCAAUGCUGCAGAAUCUCAGCCUCACACUAUAGGUCGUGGCAGCCCCAAAUGUGGCUCCACCCCAAAGAUUGGGCUCUCAGCCUCCGGUCCAGUCCCAGAGGCAAGCCGAGUGGGUCUUCCCUCUCCCUCCAAAGACAAGGCAACUGGUGUCCGAGUCAUACUCUGAGGAUAAACCUAUUUCCUAAGCAAAAGCCUCUCCAUCAUGGAAAAGCAUCCACCAGCCACGGUCCUCCCCAGGCUACCUGUGGGGCCCAGGAAGGCCUGCAUGAAGUCGGGAGCGGAGCUUGUUGGGCGCCUGGUAUUUAUCAACUCCUGUGCUCCAGCCUGGGCGACAGAGUGAGACUCUGUCUCAAAAAUAAAUAAGUAAAAAAGUAAA